CACCGAGUCAUUCCGAAAAUACCCGAAGUUUUCCGAGCGGCCGUCCUGCCGGACUGCUGGAGGCGGCCGCAGCGCCAUGUUGGAUGCUCUGCUCGUUGAGUGAAGAAAAUCCGCCGGCAUCGCCUGAGCCCCGCUACCGAGAAGGGCGCCGCUUCCCCCGGGGAGGGGGAUAAAGACCCCCUGCCGCCGGCCCAUGAGGAUAUUGCCGUGAAAGGUCCGGUCUCUCCGCCUCCUGCCCCCGCCGGGUCCGGCCCCCCCCCUGGGGUCGCGUUGUCACGGAGACCGGCAGCCGGUGGUGCUGGCCCGCGGGGCGGCUGCUGCUGCCGGCGGCGGCGGCGGCGGCGGCGGCGGCGGCGGAGGGCGUGUGUGACCGGCCCCGGCCCCCUCCUCCUCCUCCUCCCAGCCUCCCCACGGCCCCCCGCUCCCGCCGCCUCCCCGGGUCAGCCCCCAACCCGCCCCCCCGCUGCCCCCGGCCCCUGCACCCCGGCGCGCCCGGUCCCGCUCUGGGGGGGUUGGUGGCUUCGCUUUGCCAUGAGUUUACCGCAGAAACCGGCUCUGAAAUCAGGCUCAGCGGCUGCAGCAGGAACCGGAUCCGGCACCGGAGCGGCGGCGGCGGCGGCGGC
rnacentral:lncRNA from 1 species